GCAUUAGAAGCUCAAUGAAAGAGCGCCGGUCUUGUAAGCCGGAGGCUGGAGGUUCAAAUCCCCCCUUUUGCU
rnacentral:tRNA from 1 species